GGACGAACGCUGGCGGCGUGCUUAACACAUGCAAGUCGAACGAAGAGCGACGGAAGCUUGCUUCUAUCAAUCUUAGUGGCGAACGGGUGAGUAACGCGUAAUCAACCUGCCCUUCAGAGGGGGACAACAGUUGGAAACGACUGCUAAUACCGCAUACGAUCUAAUCUCGGCAUCGAGGAUGGAUGAAAGGUGGCCUCUACAUGUAAGCUAUCACUGAAGGAGGGGAUUGCGUCUGAUUAGCUAGUUGGAGGGGUAACGGCCCACCAAGGCGAUGAUCAGUAGCCGGUCUGAGAGGAUGAACGGCCACAUUGGGACUGAGACACGGCCCAGACUCCUACGGGAGGCAGCAGUGGGGAAUCUUCCGCAAUGGACGAAAGUCUGACGGAGCAACGCCGCGUGAGUGAUGACGGCCUUCGGGUUGUAAAGCUCUGUUAAUCGGGACGAAAGGCCUUCUUGCGAAUAGUGAGAAGGAUUGACGGUACCGGAAUAGAAAGCCACGGCUAACUACGUG
rnacentral:rRNA from 1 species